AGCUUUGCGCAGUGGCAGUAUCGUAGCCAAUGAGGUUUAUCCGAGGCGCGAUUAUUGCUAAAGAUCUUUGAAGCAAAGCACUUUACCAACAAAUCUUUAACCUCUCUCCAUCUAC
ensembl:snRNA LOC120095495 U4 spliceosomal RNA